UGGGGAAUAUUGGACAAUGGGGGCAACCCUGAUCCAGCAAUGCCGCGUGUGUGAAGAAGGUCUUCGGAUUGUAAAGCACUUUCGACGGGGACGAUGAUGACGGUACCCGUAGAAGAAGCCCCGGCUAACUUCGUGCCAGCAGCCGCGGUAAUACGAAGGGGGCUAGCGUUGCUCGGAAUGACUGGGCGUAAAGGGCGUGUAGGCGGUUUACACAGUCAGGAUGUGAAAUCCCCGGGCUUAA
rnacentral:rRNA from 1 species